rnacentral:rRNA from 1 species
UUGAACGCUGGCGGCAUGCCUUACACAUGCAAGUCGAACGGUAGAGGAGCAAUCCUCGAGAGUGGCGAACGGGUGAGUAAUGUAUCGGAACGUGCCCAGUAGUGGGGGAUAGCCCGGCGAAAGCCGGAUUAAUACCGCAUACGACCUAAGGGUGAAAGCAGGGGACCGCAAGGCCUUGCGCUAUUGGAGCGGCCGAUGUCAGAUUAGCUAGUUGGUGGGGUAAAAGCCUACCAAGGCGACGAUCUGUAGCUGGUCUGAGAGGACGACCAGCCACACUGGGACUGAGACACGGCCCAGACUCCUACGGGAGGCAGCAGUGGGGAAUUUUGGACAAUGGGCGCAAGCCUGAUCCAGCCAUGCCGCGUGAGUGAAGAAGGCCUUCGGGUUGUAAAGCUCUUUCAGACGGAAAGAAAUCGGGCGGGUGAAUAGCCUGCCUGGAUGACGGUACUGUCAGAAGAAGCACCGGCUAACUACGU